rnacentral:rRNA from 1 species
CAAUAGCGUAUAUUAAAGUUGUUGCAGUUAAAAAGCUCGUAGUUGGAUUUGUGGCGUACGGUGUGUUCCGGGCACUUGUUGUCUGAGUAACCUGCUGUGGCCAUCCUUGGGUGGAACCUGUGUGGCAUUAGGUUGUCGUGCAGGGGAUGCCCAUCAUUUACUGUGAAAAAAUUAGAGUGUUCAAAGCAGGCUUAUGCCGUUGAAUAUAUUAGCAUGGAAUAAUGAGAUAGGACUUUUUUGCUAUUUUGUUGGUUUGCGCAAAGAGGUAAUGAUUAAUAGGGACAGUUGGGGGUAUUCGUAUUCCAUUGUCAGAGGUGAAAUUCUUGGAUUUUUGGAAGACGAACUACUGCGAAAGCAUUUACCAAGGAUGUUUUCAUUAA